UCAACCAGAGCCAAGAAAGGCUCUCAUGCUCAAACCCUAAACUUAAAAAAUUCAUCAAAUUGAAAGGGCAAAUCAAGCCUAAAUCGAAAUCCAAGCACAAAUUAGUGAUCACCUCAGUAAAGGGAUCAUAAGGCUCGGUGGUUGAAUUCUCAAGCGGUCAAGUCGGAGUGGACGCGCGCCUGAAGGAUAUGCUUUAAAAGGUAAUGUUGGCAAUACUCCGGAUGGCGAUCAAGCAAUAUGUCAAAGAACCGAACACGACACUUUUGAAGUUUCCACGUUAAUAUAUUUUGUUUUAACUAAAUAUGAACAUGUAACUCUUGACGUCACAUUUUGUACAUUUUAAACCAGUAGGGAUGUUAAUCCUAAAGAC